rnacentral:lncRNA from 1 species
CUCUGUGGUCCUUCCGCCAAAACAUCUGGGCUCCUCCACCUCCCCGAGCCCAAAUGGCCAUGCAGGUCGAACACCAGCUCUGAAGUGGGCAGGGCCCCCAGGGAGGACAGCCACGGGAGCUCAGGCAGCGUCCCCGCCGGCACCUGCCUCUUUGUGCAGCGGCAGUCAGGGCCCUCGGCAAUGAGCUGAACUCGCAGUGCGGUUACGAGGGCAAAUAUGCUCCUUGAGGGCCGGCGAAACUCAGCAGCCCGAGGAAGGCUACUGAUGUGCAUUUCAUAGCCGGCUGCGAAUUUAGGAAAACAGACUUUGCUUCUCGUCACUCAGCCUACGUGACCAGGUUCAGACACAGUCUGCAGCCGCCCGCCUCGCACCCCCACUCUGCAGUGCGGUAUGUGGGGAGCUCAGGGCACAGCAGGCCAGGCCUCCCCGUGGACGUCCAGGAACCAGAACCAAACUGCCCAGGGCCCCAGAGGGGAAGAUGUCUCAGCAGACGGACAGCCGAGGCUCACAUGGCAAGCUCUGGCAGCCUGUCGGUCCCAGGAGAGAGGGGGAGGUGAGUGAACUGAGGGAGGGCCAGGUGACAGGUCACAAACAAUGAAACUUCCUCUGGGCACAGCAGAGGUUGGUUUUGUUUUGGGGGUGAUGUGGCGCGGCACUGUUGCUUGGGGAAUAUUUGGUUUUUGUCUUAUUUUGUGGGGGUCGUGGAGCAGUGCUGCUGUUCUAAGGAUGUUUGGUGUCUGUCGUAUUUUGUGGGGGUUGUGGAGCAGUGCUGUUUUUCUGGGAGUUAUUUGGCUUCUGUCUUAUUUUGUGGGGUUGUAGAGCGGCGCUAUUAUUCUGGAAAUGUUUGGUUUCUGUCUUAUUUUGUGGGGGUCGUGGAGCAGUGCUGCUGUUCUAAGGAUGUUUGGUGUCUGUCGUAUUUUGUGGGGGUUGUGGAGCAGCGCUGUUUUUCUGGGAGUAUUUGGCUUCUGUCUUAUUUUGUGGGGUUGUAGAGCGGCGCUAUUAUUCUGGAAAUGUUUGGUUUCUGUCUUAUUUUGUGGGGGUCGUGGAGCAGUGCUGCUGUUCUAAGGAUGUUUGGUGUCUGUCGUAUUUUGUGGGGGUUGUGGAGCAGCGCUGUUUUUCUGGGAGUAUUUGGCUUCUGUCUUAUUUUGUGGGGUUGUAGAGCGGCGCUAUUAUUCUGGAAAUGUUUGGUUUCUGUCUUAUUUUGCUUCGCCCAGCCUCGGCCUGCUGUGUUUAUGGUUAAAAUAACUCUGUGGGCAAACCCGAGUCUCCAGCUCUCAUCCGCUGUCCCCUGGGCUCCCUCACUUCCUUUCAUCCACAGCGCCCACUGCAAGUGAUAUUCUUAUAAUACACUGAGCAACUAUUUUAGUAACACAGAAACUUUCUGGGGAUAUGACCCACUUUAAACAGUUAUCUAGGGAGAGGGAAGAAAGUGAUUUCGCUCCAGGCCUGGGCAUCUCCUUUCACCCACAUUUCAUUUUGCUUAAUCCCACAAAAGCCGCUUAACCGCACCUGCCAUGUUUUCCCAGACAGCCUUGCAAACAUGCGAGGGUGGUUACUGGAGCCUUCUCGGACCCGCGUGAUUCCACCACCGUGAGAUGCAGGAACUGUCUAGAUUUGCAGACAGAGCUUGUCCUUGACCCCCAAAGCUCCAGCCCUGCCCUGUGGGCGAGGAGCUUUGGUGAACUCAGCUCACCUCAGUGCUGCAAGGUUAUGGCACCCCACACUCAUGCGCCUCCCAGGUGCCCAGCUUCUUCACUGGAGGAGGGGACGGUGACCAGGCUAGGGCCCUUGGUACGGGCUGAGGAGCUCUUUCCUCACUUUCCCUGGAGCCCGUGUUCUGCAAGAUCAGGUCGACUGAAGCACAUCAGCUUCUGUCCCAGGCCCCUCUGCGGAUGAGCAAGAGCUGCUGACCAAUGGGAGUGACAGCUCAGCACACCAGCCAGCGGCCCAGCGGAAACACGUUCUGCAGGCUCAUCUUGGGAAAACUUCUACUCACAUACAAAUAUGCAUUAGAGUCAGGGUCUCACCCUGUCACCCAGGCUGCAGUGCAGUGGCACCAUCAUGGCGCACUGCAGCCUCGAACCCCUGGCCUCAGCCUCCUGAGCAGCUGGGACUCUGACCCCAUGUGCACCACCACACCUGGCUACUCUUUCCUUUUUUGUUGUUGUUUUUUUAUUUUUUGUAGAGAUGGGGUCUCACUAUGUUACCCAGGCUGGUCUCAAACUUUUGGCCUCAAGAAAUCCUCCUGCUGUGGCCUCCUUAGUAGCUGGGAUCACAGGCAUGAGCCACCGUGCCUGGCUAAUUGUUAUUUUUAUUUUUUGUAGAGAUGGGGGUCUCACUAUGUUGCCUAGGUUGGUCUUGAACUCCUGGGCUCGAGCAAUCCUCCCACCUCAGCCUCCCAAAAUGUUGGGAUUACAAGCAUGAGCCACUGUGCCUGGCCUGCAAAGUUAUAUUUUAGUUAAGCUUUUUCAACCUCAGAAAAUAACUGGAGGCGCCCAACUUCCACUGAGCACCUAGGCUGGGAAAUAGGCAGCAGACCAGCUCUGAGCUUUAAGAUGUCUGGGAUAGGGCAGGAGCUGAGAGGCAUUUGGGACUAAAUUUUUUUUUUUUUUAGGUGGAGUCUUGCUCUGUCGCCCAGGCUGGAGUGCAGCAGCGCGAUCUCAGCUCACUGCAACCUCCGCCUCCUGGGUUCAAGCGAUUCUCCUGCCUCAGCCUCCCAAGUAGCUGGGAUUACAAGCGCACGCCACCACACCCGGCUAAUUUUUGUAUUUUUAGUAGAGAUGAGGUUUCACCAUGUUAGCCAGGAUAGUCUUGAUCUCCUAACCUUGUGAUCCACCCACCUUGGCCUCCCAAAGUGCUGAGAUUACAGGCGUGAGCCACCGCGCCCGGCCUGGGACUGAUUCAUUUGGGGUCCAGCCCACUCCCUUAAGGCAGGAGGCUGCAAAGUUGCUGGGGCCUGCAUUCCAGGCCACACCGCUGGCCAGUGGUGGAAGCUGAGCCACCUCUCUCACUUUCCUGGGCCUCCACUUCCUCAUGGGUAAAAGUGGAAGGAAAAAUACCUCCCUCUGCAAAAGGGUUGAGCGAGAUGAUGCAGGUGAAGGGUGUGGUCCUCAAUGAGCCCUUAACACAUGCCAGCCAUCAUAUUCCAGCCCUGACUAUGUUGGUCAUCAGCAGAGCUGUGGCCUUCCAGCUUCAUCCUGACAUGCGGAGGCCGCCUUUCAGAAACUCUCCCAAGCACCUUCCCCCAGCAUCUGGGCCCUGGGCAUGGCCACUGCUCAAAGUCCCAGACGAGGCCAUCCAUCAAAGCUGUACUUGGCAACAGCAAGUAAGAGAAGGUUGUCAGGGCACUGCAUGGCCCCAGGCCCCCCUCCUCUGUAAGUGGACCAUCAGAGCCAAACGUCAGGGCUGAGCAGGCCUGGAGACCAGCGACCCCAGCCUCCUGCAACCCUGCCAGGCCAGGAACUAACAGCAGUUCCAGAAUUGCAUAGGAUUUCCUCAGUGCCUUCUAGGCACUGGGCCUGCUCUACAUCCCAGGAUACUAUGGGGAACAUGUGGGACUCUGUCCCUACUCUCACAUGGAGCCUGGCAGUUAGACAUGACACAACCCACAAACCCACCAGCCAACCAACCAACAUCCAGAUUCCAGAACGACAGGGGAUGGGGACAGGGUGGGUGGAGGGCAGGAAAGGCCCUCCAAUGAAGUGAGGCUUGAAUAGAGAGAGACAGCAAGUCCUGACUCUCUCUGGGAGAAGACUGUUCUAGGCAAAGAGCAUGCCAAGGGCUCAACUGGAAGUCAUCAUGCCCAGACUCAAGCAAACAGGACACGUGUAUCUAGUUCACUCAGAAUGGGAGCUAGAAGGGGCUUUGACAUCAGCUAGUUCAUUAAGGUCCUCACAUUGUCACCAUCGUCAUUACUAUUGCCAUCAUAAUCACCAUCAUCACUAUCAUCACCACCACCACAUCCACCAUCGUCACCACCACCAGCACCAGCACCACCACUACCAUCACUACCACCACUGUCACCAUCACCAUUACCAUCCACCACCACCACCAUCACCGCUACCACCAUUACCACCAUCAGAAGCACCAUCACCACCAUCACCACCACCACCACUGCCAACAUCACCAUCAACAUCACCACCACUACCAUCACCACCACCACCACCACCACUGCCAUCAUCACCAUCAACAUCACCACCACUACCAUCACCACCACCAUCACCACCACUUCCAUUACAGCCAUCAGAAUCACCAUCAUCAUCACCAUCACUACCACCAUCACCAACACCACCACCAUCACAAUCACCACCACAUCACCAUCAUCACCAACAUCACCACUACCACCACUACCAUCACCACCACCACCAUCACCAUCGCAGCCACCAUCAUCACCAUCACCACCACCGCCCCCACUACUCAUAAGUAAGGGUGAUGAUAAAAGCACCAGCCACGUUAGCAGAUCCCUGGUUAUAGUUCCAGCAUAUGUGCUCAAUUCUUUACAGUCAGGACCCCACUGUAUUCUGGAAACAACUCCAAGAGACAGGGACUAUCGUGUCUCCAUCUUACAGACAAGGUGAGGGAGGUAUGGAAAGGCAGGAGUACAUACAUGUCUCUAAGGGGGAGGGCACUUGGCCUGGUCUUGGCCAUCCCUUGCCAGCUCCAGGAUGCUCCUGUUUGUGGCUGCAGGAGCCUCCACACGGCCAUAACUAGGUGGCACCGUGUCCAUUUCCCCCUCCUCCUCUCAUGCCAUGGUGAGACGCACACUGAGAGCAGGACACUGGGGGCAGCCCUUCCUGCUGCCCGCUGCUGGGCCAUUAGGCCCUGCUGACACCUAGCAGGGCGGAAGGCCUGGCAGUGGAGAGAAGGGAGCAGAUGUUCCCCCAACACUGACCUCGCACCUUGGAAAGAAGCAAGAUGGGAGGAGCUGAGAGGGAGGACGGUGCUGAGCAUGGCUGACCCCGAGGGCUGGGCUGCCGAGGUCCUGCAGAAGCUAUAAUAAGGCUGUGCACCAACAAGCUCACAGAGCAAACCACCCCCAAACCAGCCUGGACCCCGUGUGCACAUGCCCCCAGGCCUCCAAGCCGGAUCCUGCGGGCCAACCUGCCCCUCCCCCAGCCGCCAAGGCUUCCCUCCCAGCCUCUGACCCUGCGCCCUGUGGGGCCCAGCCUUCCUAAGGACCGCAGAGGGUCCUGGGUCAGCUGUGGGCACAGGCCCGGAUGCCUGCAGCAUUGCAGGGGCCACGGGAUACAGCGCUCCCUCACCGGUGAGGCAUUGCUGGGCCUCCCCAGGUGGGACAUGUACUCAUGGUGCCUGUGGACCUGCAGGAGGUCCCCCAGAGGCUUCCCGCCCCCAGGCCCACCGGAGCCCCCAUACUUAUUGCUGAUGUCCUCGAUCUUCUGCUCGGGCCGCUGCUUUUGCUGGAACUGUCGGUUCUGGAGGUAGUUCUCCUUCAGGUAGAUCUCCCAGGAUAGCAGGGCCGCCUCCUCGUUCUUCUCCAGCUUGUUCUCUGUCAGGGUGGGCGGACAGACCAGGGGACCUGGAAUCCUCAGGAGGUGGGCCCUGAAGCCCUGACCCACCGGGGGGGCCCCGUGGGAGGGGGCCAGUCCUGAGUGGCAGGAAGAGCCCAUCGCACACCUGCCCCCAAGGGGGCCUCUGGGCUCAGCCCCCACCACUUGCUCAAGGCCAGCAGAAGGCCAGCAGCCUGAGUGACCUGCACGCCUGCUGAGCGUCCAGGGUUCUGGGCAGAGCUGCCAUGCCAUCUCCACCCCCUCUGCACCCGGGUGGCCAGGACAUUCAGGAGAGGCACUGGGGCUGGCAUACUGAGCUGCUUGUGCCUCUUGGCCGGAGUCUUCAGGACCACCCUCUUGAUGAAGAGCUGCAGGUGGCUGAGGAGGAUGAAGGGGGGCGGCGCGGCGGGGCGGCCGUGGUACUCCUCGAUCAGGUCAUGGCGCUGGAACUUCCAAAUCUGGUCCGUGUGCUCCUGCACCUGCUGGAAGGUGUAGCUGUCAGGGAGGAGAAAGCAACACCUCGAGGUCAGGGUGUUUACCCAGAACAGACCCCUCUCACCGCCUGCGUGCCCACUGUGAUGCCACAGAGAGCAGAGCCACGCCCACAUGCCCACUGUGAUGCCACAGAGAGCAGAGCCACACCCACAUGCCCACUGUGAUGUCACAGAGAGCAGAGCCACGCCCACGUGCCCACUGUGAUGCCACAGAGAGCAGAGCCACGCCCACGUGCCCACUGUGAUGCCACAGAGAGCAGAGCCACGCCCACGUGCCCACUGUGAUGCCAGAGAGCAGAGCCACGCCCACGUGCCCACUGUGAUGCCACAGAGAGCAGAGCCACGCCCACGUGCCCACUGUGAUGCCAGAGAGCAGAGCCAUGCCCACGUGCCCACUAUGAUGCCACAGAGAGCAGAGCCACGCCCACGUGCCCACUGUGAUGCCAGAGAGCAGAGCCACGCCCACGUGCACACUGUGAUGCCAGAGAGCAGAGCCACGCCCACGUGCCCACUGUGAUGCCACAGAGAGCAGAGCCACGCCCACGUGCCCACUGUGAUGCCAGAGAGCAGAGCCACGCCCACGUGCCCACUGUGAUGCCAGAGAGCAGAGCCACGCCCUUGUGCCCACUGUGAUGCCAGAGAGCAGAGCCACGCCCACAUGCACACUGUGAUGCCACAGAGAGCAGAGCCACGCCCUUGUGCCCACUGUGAUGCCAGAGAGCAGAGCCACGCCCACGUGCCCACUGUGAUGCCACAGAUAGCAGAGCCACGCCCACGUGCCCACUGUGAUGCCAGAGAGCAGAGCCAUGCCCACAUGCCCACUGUGAUGCCACAGAGAGCAGAGCCAUGCCCACGUGCCCACUGUGAUGCCACAGAGAGCAGAGCCAUGCCCACGUGCCCACUGUGAUGCCAGAGAGCAGAGCCAUGCCCACGUGCACACUGUGAUGCCACAGAGAGCAGAGCCACGCCCACGUGCCCACUGUGAUGCCAGAGAGCAGAGCCACGCCCACGUGCACACUGUGAUGCCACAGAGAGCAGAGCCACACCCACGUGCCCACUGUGAUGCCACAGAGAGCAGAGCCAUGCCCACGUGCCCACUGUGAUGCCAGAGAGCAGAGCCAUGCCCACGUGCCCACUGUGAUGCCACAGAGAGCAGAGCCAUGCCCACGUGCCCACUGUGAUGCCACAGAGAGCAGAGCCACGCCACACGGGAGGCCAGCUCCAGGCACAGAACUCAGCCCACAGACCUCACAAUUCCAGGCUUCCUGGGAACCAAAGCAAGAAAAAAGGAGAAGCACACAGACUUUCGAUAUUAUAAGCCUCACUGGCUAAUAACACGAAGUGGGUGUUUAUCAGGAGACAGACACUGUCUGGCACUGAACUCUAGGACCUGAUCUGUGGAUUCUGACGAGCACAAGAGCCAGACCCUCCAGGGGUGCAUGUGGAAGGGGCAGGGCUGCAGGGGCCUCCUUGGUGUGUCUCAGGGUGACAGGCACAGAGCCCUCCGCAGUGGGAGCCGGAAGUGUGGGUGCCAUACUUGCUGCAGGGACAGUGUCCUGCCACCAGCCCCUUGGCCUCGAGAUGACAGUCCUGGCCCAUGCUCGGGUUCUCUCAAUGUUCAGAACCCACGUUCUGAAAGGUGGCAACCUCAGCAACUUAGCCAAUGAAACAAGAAGAGAAACGGUUGGUUCCUAACAAAACCAGGAACACAAGGAUUUUCAGAGUCCUGGGUAGCACAGGGUCUGUCUGCAGAUGCUGGGAAGGGCUCUGAGGGCCUGGGAGGCUUUCUGAAUUAUGGGGGCAACGUGGGGAGACUGGGCUUUCUGUGGACCAUGACAGCUCCGCAGCCGUGCUGGGCUCCUCAGCUCCACUGUCAGGGCUAGGAAUUGGCCACAGAACCCCCAGAGCCAACCCUGGGGCCCACUAGGACCCCAAACACCUGUGUUUUCAUUCUGCGUGGCCUCCUGGUUCCCUGGAGUUCUUUUUUAUGCUGCCUCUGGUGUGAGGUCCUCAGCAUUUAAUUUGUUCUAAGUUUAAAAGCUGCAAGAGCAAAACAGAACCCCCAAAGCCUGGGGCCCACAGCUGCUGCGGCUGAUCAGAGAUACGACCCCAGAGGACCACGUCCACCAGGGGCCGGAUGGACAGCCACCUAUUUUGUACUCCUUGUUUCAAAAGCAACAAUAGCAAAUAACAUUCCAAAAGUUCUAUGAUAAGACUUCAAGACACUAGGAUUUAAAGAAAAUCCUAGACAUUUUCAAAGAGAAGAAACAGCUACUGCAUGGGUCUCCUGAUGCUGCUGUAGUGAACCGCCACGGCCUUGGCAGCUUAAAGCAAUCAGACUCUUCUCUCAGUCCUGGAGGUCAGGAGUCUCACUGGGCUAAAACCAAGGUUCGGCAGGGCUGUGCUCCUCCCGUAGGUCGGGAGCCUCCAUGCCUUGCCUUUCCUGCCUUCCAGAGGCUGCCUGCAUUCCUGGGCUGAGGCUCUCCCCUCCCGCCGACGCUCACUGCCACCGUCACAUUCCUUCUCCGCCUCCCUCUUCCACGGCCCCUCAUGAUGAUGUCGGGCCCAUGCAGAUAACCCCAGAUAAUUUCCCACCUCAGGAUCCUCCACUUAACCCCACCCUCCCAGUCCCUUUUGCCACAUAGGGCCCCAUAGCCACAGGGUUCGAGUGUGGACCUCCCUGGGGCUGUUAUUCAAACUGCCACAGAUGCCACAAACACCAGGCCCAGAGGAGGUGGACACGUGUGUGCAAAUCCACAAAACCAGCAAAGCACGUGAAGACGUGCAGAUGAGGAAGACCCCAAUGGCACGGGAGGGCAGACACAGAGCCGUCCACAGAUGGAUCGGAGCUCUGGGGAAGGCACCGCAGAGCCAGCGCCGUCUGAGGCACACGGUGGGGGCAGCAGGAACACGUCUAGGGCUGGGGAACCGGCCCCAAAGAGCUAAAGAACCCAGCAACUAACCGAAAUGCUCACACUUACAGAUGGCAGACGGGAAAAGAAGCCACCUGCUGGGAUGCUGAGACUCGCUUGCAGGAGCUUUUGGAACUGGCUGAGGUCACAGCUGGAACCACUGUGGCCAGCUGGAGUCUGCACAGCCCGAGUUUCCACCCCAGGGUCCCAGUAACUCCGCCCAAAUGUGCACACGAGACCUAUGAGGAGACAUAACUUUCCAGAACCCCCUUUUCUUCCACCAGCCACUUACUCAUCCAAGAACCCACCCCCGAACCUUCCCUAAUAGAAACACUGCAUUAAAGCCAGCGCGGGGAGACAGACGUGAACUGCGCCCCUGUCUCCUUGUGGGUUGGCCUAGAAUAAAAGCUUUUCUUUUCUCAAAAACCUGGUGUCAUAGUAUUGGCCUCCUGCACAUCGGGCAGCGAGCCCUUUUGCUCAGUAACAGGGAGACACAGGCAGAGCCCUUGGGGUGACAAGGGGACAGCCCUGAGCAGCAGCGGCCCCAGCACGCUCCCCGGGUAGAGCAGUGAGCCCAUGAAUAAUGCUGCGCCUGCGCAGAAGGAACGAGGCUGACACCAACAUCCCUGCCCUGCGGGAGGAGGCUGCCUCCGCAGCAGCACCGUGAGCAGGGCCCUUGUGGAUCCACAGCACCGCGGGUCCCCAGCAGCCACAAGGACAGACCCACGCCAGCUCAAGAGACAGACUCACGCCAGCUCAAGAGACGCAGCAGUGACCACAGAGAGUGGCUGUGCACACUCCACCAGGAUAUGAGUGACGCGCCUCUGUGCACCAGCCCAUCAUCCACACUGUCCACGAGACCCUGGAGACAGCAUGGCCACUGCGGCCCAGGAACGCCGCCCACCCACCCACCUGCACGCCAGCCCCACCCAGGCGCUCACUUGAACAUGGCGAUGAGGAGCUUGGCAGGAGGGGGCCCUCGAGGCCUCCAGUCACUGCCAGGUCCCCCGCAGGCCUGAUGCUGCUCAUUUGGGUGACCUCAGCUGUCACCUCUGGGCCAGAAGUCCAGAAAGAGGCAUCUGUCUCCAGCCAGAUGCAGGUAGGAGGCCCCGGGGGCAGAGCUGCACCCAGGCUGGCCCGUGCCUCCGCCCAGGGUGUGCCACCCACCAGGGCACUGCCAGGGUCCCAGCCAGGGCCAGCACCAGGUCCCAAGCCUGGGGAGUUCAAUUUGGUGGAAAUAAUUUAAAAGGAAAGGCCAGGAGCAGUGGCUCAUGCCUGUAAUCCCAGCACUUUGGGAGGCCAAGGCGGGCGGAUCACCUGAGGUCAGGAGUUUGAGACCAGCCUGGUCAACAUGGUGAAACCUUGUCUCUACUAAAAAUACAAAAAUUAGCCAGGCAUGGUGGCGGGCGCCUAUAAUCCCAGCUACUCGGGAGGCUGAGGCAGGAAAAUCACUUGAAUCCGGGAGGGAGGUGGAGGUUGCAGUGAGCCGAGGUUGCCUCAUUGCACUCCAGCCUGGGCAACAAGAGCAAAUGUCUGUCUCAAAAAUUAAAAAAAAAAAAAAAAAAAAAGAAUUGAAAAGGAAAAAAAUAACAACUAUCCCAAAGAGAAGGGAGACGUGGAGAUGUGGAAAAGGGAAGAUGUUGCAGAGGCAAUGUAUCGACAAGUGAAACGGGUGAUUGUGAAGAAAAAUAGCGUCCUGCGUGCAUAGAAAGUAAGGGCUAUUGAAUAUGGAAACAGCUUCUACCUUAAACAAAUCUCUAAGGAAACAUAGUAAGUUGUUAACAGUAGUUAACUCCGGGAGGUGAAAUUAUGAAUAACAUUCUUUCCUUAUACUUAUCUUGAAUUUUAAAAUUGUUCAACAAUGAGCAAUGCAUUAUUGGGUAAUCAAACCUAUUUUGAAUGUGUUACUAAUUUUCUAAGAUAGAAACGCACUCUGAUGGCUAUAAAUUCCUAUAUUAAUAAAGAAGAGCUGAAAUUAUUAACGUAACUUCCCACUGUAGUAAACUAGAAAAAGAAGAGCAAACCACCCUUUCACAAUAAAAACACUCAAGAAGUUAGGAAUCAAAGAGAACCUCUUUGAUUGAAAGGACAUUUACAAAAACCCUGCAGCUAACAUCAUACCCAGUGGGAAAGACUGGAUGCUUUCCCUGAGACAAGCCAAAAGCAAGCAGAAGGAAGGAAAGAAUGAAGAUUAGAAUAUAAAUGAGAUCGAGAAAUCAAAAACAAUGAAUGUCAACAAACCAAACUCAGUUCUUGAAAAAGAGCAACAAAAAUAAUUACCACCUUGUAGCUAAGACUGAUCAAGGAAAAAAAGAGAGAAGGCUCAAAUUGCUAAAAUCAGAAAUGAAAGAGAGGAUAUUACUACUAAUCUUACAAAAAGAAAAAGAACUCAAAGGAAAUCCUAGAGAAAAUUGUAUGCUAAAAAAAUUAGAUGAUCUAGAUGAAUGGACAAAUUCCUAGAAAGACACAAACUACCAAAGGUGACUGGAGAAGAAAUAGAAAAUAUAAAUAGACCUAUAACACAUAAAGAGAUUGAAUUAGUAAGUUAAAAACAUCACACAAAGAAAAGUCCACACUCAGAGGAGUUCACUGGUGAAUUCUACCAAAUGUUCACGGAAGAAUUAAAACCACUCUUUUACAAACUCUUCCAAAAUAUAAGAGGAGGAACUACUUCCUAAGCCAUUUUAUGAGGCCAGUAUUAUCCUGGUGCCAAAACUAGGCAAACAUAUUACAAGAAAAGAAAACCACAGACCAAUAACCUUCAUGAAUAUAGGUGCAAAAAUCAUCAAAAAACAGCUAGCAAAGUGAAUCCAGCACCAUGUAAAAGAGAUUAUUCACCAAGACCAAGUGGGACGUGUCCCAGGAACAUAAAGUUGGUUUAACAUUCGAAGGUCAAUUGAUGGAAUGCACCAUAUUAAUAGUAAAAGGAUCAAAGACCAUCUGAACAUUUGAAUAAGUGCAGGAGAAGCAGCUGACAAAGUCUACCACUCCUUCACAAUAAAAACACUCAAGAAACUAGGAAUAGAAGGGAACUUCUUCAACCUGAUAAAGGACAUUUAUAAAAGCCCCACAGCUAACAUCACACUUAAUGGUGAAAGGCUUGUUCCCUAAGAUCAGUGGACUCGUCUUAAGAUCAGGAGCAAAGCAAGGAUGUCCCCCAUUGUCCCUUCUGUUCAACAUUGUACUGGAGGUUCUAGCCAGGGCACUUAGGCAAGAAGAAGAAAUAAAAGGCAACCAGUUUGGAAAGGAACAAGUAAAACUCUCUUUUUGCAGAUGACAUGGUCUCGUAUAUGACAAAUCCACUAAAAAACUAUUAAAAGUAAUAAAGAAGUUUAGCAAGGUUUCAGAGUUCAAGAUCAAUCUACAAAAGACAAUGUAUGUCUACAUACCAGUCAUUAACAAUUUGAAAUGAAAUCAAUAGGACAAUUCUAUUUAUAAUAGCUUGGACAAUAAUAAAAUAUUUAGGAAUAAAUUUAACAGAAGAAGCAUUAAGACUUAUUACUGGAAACUAUAAAACAUUAUUGAGAGAAAUUAAAGAAUUAAAUAAGCAAAAAGACAUCCCAUGUUCACAAUCAAAAUCACAGAUGCCCUUUUUGGAGAAAUUGAUGAGCUGAUCCAAAAAUUCUUGUGAAGCCAAGGGACCCAGAGGCCAAAGCAAUCCUGGAAAAGAACAAAUUAGGACUCACACUUCCGAAUUUCAAAACUUACUACAAGGCUACGCUCACCAAGACAGCACGGUCAAAACUUACUACAAGGCUACGCCAACCAAGACAGUGCGGUCAAAACUUACUACAAGGCUACGCUCACCAAGACAGUGUGGUCAAAACUUACUAUAAGGCUACGCUCACCAAGACAGUGAGGUCAAAACUUACUACAAGGCUACGCCAACCAAGACAGUGCAGUCAAAACUUACUACAAGACUACGCUCACCAAGACAGUGCGGUCAAAACUUACUACAAGGCUACGCUCACCAAGACAGUGCGGUCAAAACUUACUACAAGGCUACGCUCACCAAGACAGUGUGGUCAAAACUUACUACAAGGCUACGCUCAACAAGACAGUGUGGUCAAAACUUACUACAAGGCUACGCUCACCAAGACAGUGUGGUCAAAACUUACUAUAAGGCUACGCUCACCAAGACAGUGAGGUCAAAACUUACUACAAGGCUACGCCAACCAAGACAGUGCGGUCAAAACUUACUACAAGGCUACGCCAACCAAGACAGCACAAUCAAAACUUACUACAAGGCUACGCCAAGACAGUGCGGUCAAAACUUACUACAAGUCUACGCCAAGACAGUGCGGUCAAAACUUACUACAAGGCUACGCUCACCAAGACAGUGCGGUCAAAACUUACUACAAGGCUAUGCCAACCAAGAGAGUGCAGUCAAAACUUACUACAAGGCUACACCAAGACAGUGUGGUCAAAACUUACUACAAGGCUACACCAACCAAGACAGUGUGGUCAAAACUUACUACAAGGCUACGCCAAGACAGUGCAGUCAAAACUUACUACAAGGCUACGCCAAGACAGUGCAGUCAAAACUCACUACAAGGCUACGCCAACCAAGACAGUGCGGUCAAAACUUACUACAAGGCUAUGCCAACCAAGACAGCGCGAUCAAAACUUACUACAAGGCUACGCUCACCAAGACAGUGCGGUCAAAACUUACUACAAGGCUACGCUCACCAAGACAGUGUGGUCAAAACUUACUACAAGGCUACGCUCACCAAGACAGCGCGAUCAAAACUUACUACAAGGCUACGCCAACCAAGACAGUGAGGUCAAAACUUACUACAAGGCUACGCCAACCAAGAGAGUGAGGUCAAAACUUACUACAAGGCUACGCCAACCAAGACAGCACGAUCAAAACUUACUACAAGGCUACGCCAAGACAGUGCGGUCAAAACUUACUACAAGUCUACGCCAAGACAGUGUGGUCAAAACUUACUACAAGGCUACGCUCACCAAGACAGUGCGGUCAAAACUUACUACAAGGCUAUGCCAACCAAGAGAGUGCAGUCAAAACUUACUACAAGGCUACACCAAGACAGUGUGGUCAAAACUUACUACAAGUCUACGCCAACCAAGACAGUGUGGUCAAAACUCACUACAAGGCUACACCAAGACAGUGCAGUCAAAACUUACUACAAGGCUACGCCAAGACAGUGCAGUCAAAACUCACUACAAGGCUACGCCAACCAAGACAGUGCGGUCAAAACUUACUACAAGGCUAUGCCAACCAAGACAGCACGAUCAAAACUUACUACAAGGCUACGCCAACCAAGACAGUGCGGUCAAAACUUACUACAAGGCUAUGCUCACCAAGACAGUGUGGUUCUGGCACAAGGACAGACAUCAGUGGAGUCAAACUGAGACUCUAGAAAUAAGCCCUUAUGUUAAUGGUCCACUGAUUUUCAACAAGGAUGCCAAGAUGCUUCACUGGGGAAACAACAGUCUUGUCAACAAAUAGUGCUGGGACAACAGGAGAGCCACAACGAAGACUGACCCUUACCGCACACCAGGGCAAACAAAAAGCGAAAGCUAUAAAACACUUAGUAGAACACAGGCAUAAAUCACGGCAAUGGUUUUCGCUAGGACACCAAAAGCACAAUGAUCAAAGAGAUUGAUAAGUUGAACAUCAUCAAAAUUUCAAAAGCUCGUGCAUCAAAUGACACCAUAAAGAAAAUAACAAGUCAGUGCACAGAUUGACAAAAAAAAUUCAAAUCAUACCUUUGGUAAGAGACUGGCAUCCUUACGUAAAGAACUCUUACGACUCAAUAAUAUAAAAGACAACUCAAUAAUAUAAAAGACAACUCAAUUGAAAAAUGGGCAAAGAUGGCUGGGGGCAGUGGCUUAUGCCUGUAAUGCCAGCACUUUGGGAGGCCAAGGCGGGUGGAUCACGAGGUCAGGAGAUCGAGACCAGCCUGGCCAACAUGGUGAAACUCUGUAUCUACUAAAAAUACAAAAAUUAGCCAGGCGUGGUGGCGUGCGCCUGUAGUCCCAGCUACUCGGGAGGCUGAGGCAGGAGAAUCACUUGAGCCCGGGAGGCAGAGGUUGCAGUGAGCUGAGAUCGCACCACUGCAUUCCAGCCUGGGUGACAGAGCGAGACCCUGUCGGAAAAAAAAAAAAAAAAAAAAAGGGCAAAGGAGAGGGAGAGACAUUUCUUGAAAGAAGACUUACAGACGACGAGGUUAGCAGAGGAGGAGAUGCUCAGCAUGGCGGGUCCUUAGAGAAAUGCCCGUCAAAGCGACAAGGAGAGCCACUUCUCACCCACCGGGAUGCGAGCUUUGUUUUUUUAAUGGACAAUAACAAAUGUUGACAAGAAGGUAGAGAAAUUGGAAUCCUGGGACUGGGCAGGCAGGAAUGUGGAAUGCGGCCGGUUCUUUGGAAAACAGCCCAGCACGUCCACAAAAACUUAAACAUGGAGUUCCCAUAUGAGCCAGCCGUGCAUUCCUAGGUGUCUAAGAGAAAUAAAAACAUACCCACACAAAACCCUGUAAAUAACUGUUCAUGCUACGUUAUUCACAGCAUGUGAAAAGUGGAAACGGCCCUGCGCGGUAGCUCACACCUGUCAUCCCAGCACUUUGGGAGGCCGAGGCGGGUGGAUCACCUGAGGUCAGGAGUUCAAGACCAGCCUGUCCAACAUGGUGAAACCCCAUCUCUACAAAAAAAUACAAAAAUUAGCCAAGCGUGGUAGCAGGUGCCUGUAAUCCCAGCUACUCGGGAGGCUGAGGCAGGAGAAUUGCUUGAACCCAGGAGGUGGAGGUCGCAGUGAGCCAAGAUUGUGCCACUGCACUUUGGCCUGACUCCCUCUCGGGAAAAAGAAAACAGAGCGAGACUCCCUCUAGGGGAAAAAAAAAAUUAAAUAUUAAUUAAUUUAAAAUUUUUUAAUUAAAAAAUUAAAUAUUAAUUUUUUUUAAAAAAAAGGAAAAGUGGAAACAACCCAUAUGUCCACCAACUGAUGAAUGGAUGAACAAAAUGUGGUGUGUCCACACAGCGGGGUCCUCUUCAGCCAUAAACGGGAAGUAAAUACUGAUACACGGUGACAAACCUUGAAAACGGGACAUCAAGUGAAAGAAGUCAGACACCAAAGACUGCCUAUUACAUCAUCCAGUUUCUAUGAAACGCCCAGAAAAGGCAGCUCACAAGUAGCUUCGUGGGUGGCUGUGGCUGAGGGGAGGGGAACGGGAGUGACUGUGAGUAUGCAGGGUCUUUUCAGGGUGAUGCAGAUGUUAUAAAGUUAGAUUCUGUAAAGAUACUGAAAACCACUGACAGGUGCACUUUAUCCAGGUGAAAUUUCUCUCAAUGAAGCUGUUAAAAAAAAAAAAAAAAAAAAAAAAAACCUUCUAUAUGAAAAGUGUUCUCUCUGGCAGGCAUGGUGGCUCACGCCUGUAAUCUCAGCACUUUGGGAGGCCAAGGGGGUGGAUCACUUGAGCUCAAGAGUUCGAUACUAGCCUGGGCCACAUGCUGAAACCCCCAUCUCUACAAAAAAUACAAAAAUUAGCCGGGUGUGUUGGCGUGCACAUGCAGUCCCAGCUACUCAGCAGACGGGUGGGAGGAGGACUUGAGCGCAGGAGGUGGACGUGCCACUGCACUCCAGCCUGGGUGACAGAGCAAAACCCUGUCAAAAAAUGGAAGGAAGGAAGGGAGGAAGGGAGGAAUGAAUUAUUUCCAUCAAGAGAAGAAGGAAGUUAUUUCUGAUUGAGGUGAGAGGGAAAGGGGAUACAGGGUGACAUUCCAUUUCAGGGGGCUGUCAGCUGAUGCCCCAGGUGCCCUCGGCCCACUCUGACCUCUGCGUGGCACCACUCACCCCCACCAGGCCCCCCUCCUCCCUCCCCUGGUGGGGCCCCUUCUACUUCCUGCCACAGGAGCUGGGGAAUGAAUGCCCCCAGGGAGGACACCGGCCAGGUGGGAACCGCAGGACCCCCUGAUGGAGCCGGCCUCACUCCCACUCAUGCGGCCCCUUUCCAGCCUCUCUCCUGCUUCCCGGCAGCACCACCCGAGCUCCCAUGGCGCCCGGCUCCUACCGUCGAUGUAGCCCGGGAUCUGCCCGAAGAUGGUGAGGUAGGAGUGGUAGACGGCCCCUCGGAACAGCCAGUCCACCCGGCGCUCGUUGUGGAUGAGGAUGGCCUGCUUGGCCACCCCGAAGGACACCACCCACACAGCCAGCAGGAAGAGGAAGAAGAAGACGUCCUUCAUCUGCAGGACAGAGAGUGUGUGGGCUACACUCUCCUGGCCCCCGAUGCUCACUGGGCCCAGAGGCAGGCCCAGCAGCGGUGGAGACAGCACUGCCACUCACAGCACAGACACGGCAUGCAGGAGGCUCCCAGGAGCAGUCCUGGGGCUGCCCCCACACCCUCGUGGACUGCCGACAUCUUUGUGCUAGCACCACAAAGUGCAAGAGGGGUCAGACAUAACCGUGACCCAAGGAGGAAAGCUCCUAGAGCUGAAUCAGAGGCCAGGAAUGAGUGCGGUCAGACAUAACCGUGACCAAGGAGGAAAGCUCCUAGAGCUGAAUCAGAGGCCAGGAAUGAGUGGGGAUCAGAGGGGAGAAUGAGGGAAGGCUUCCUGGAAGAGGUGACGUACAGGCAAAGAUACGAGAAGGGCAUUCUUGGGAGCCCAAGGGGCAAAGCAGGGACGGGGAACCUACAGGUGUGUUUAAGCCCCAGUCCGAGCCACUGGCAAGGGGCCUGCCCUCCCCGAGGCCCACCCUGGGCUGCAGGCCGCGAUGGAGCCGGUGCCCCCGCCCCCUUACCAUCCGCUUCACAAUGAUGAUCUUGGGCCCCAGCGUCUUACUGAUGGUAAAAAUGUGCAUGAGCCGGAGGCAGAACAGGAUGAAGUCCAGAGAGAGGAUGACGCGCCCGGGGUACAGCGUCGCCGGGAUGAGCCUGGCCGCCGGGCAGAAGCACACACAUCUCAGCCACCUGCUCACAGCAGCCCCCAGAGCUGUCCCCCGUCGCCCCUCCACCUGUCCUAGCCCAGGUGGGCCCUGGAGGCAAAGGGCUCUGGUGGGCCCUGCAUCCCAGGUGUUCAAAGCUGGCAUGAGAUUGAGGAAUAGAGCCUCCCACUUUUCUUCAGACGCCCAGCCCCACAGGGCAGCCUGGCAUGGGGGCACCUGGAGAGCCAGCAGUUAGCCAGGGCCCUAUUGCCUCCGAGAAAGGGGGCCGCGGCCUCGCAGAGACACGAGAGCAUCACAGGCAGUGCAGUGAGCCCACAGUAGGGAGGCAGAGGGAGAAAGCGGCAGCCGCGUGUCCGUGGAGCUGGGACAAUUCCAGAGGUUGCCAUCUAUGGCCCCUUGCACAUGGACAAUCUCAGCUCUGCCAGGAGCUCUCAUGCCCCUUCUGUGCUCCCUCAACAAUCCCAAGGGUAGGUGGGGCGCUGUUGCCUGGACACCCAUUGGACAGAUGACAAUCCAGGGUUCACAGACGAGCUGAGCCUCACCCGGUGUGGCUGGUUCUGGGCCCGGCCUGUGCUCAUCCCCUGCAGGGCUGGCUGCCUCAGACGGGCCCGCCAUCGGGGUGAGGCCACUCACCUGCAGGUCAGCCCUGCCACGAAGAGCAAGAUUGCGCCGACGUCCAGCUUAUUCCAGAAGUCACUGAAGUACAAGGCUGCCUUCUUCAUCAGCCCGCACUCGUCAGGGUCAUAGAAGAGCUACUGGGAAGAGGGGCGGUAGGAAGGCAGACAGGUUGUCACUCUUACUAUCCUCACUGUCACUGUCACAUCACUAUCCACUAUCAUCAUCACAGUCACUGUCACUAUCAUCACUAUCACUGUCACUAUCAUCACUACCCUUGCUGUCACCAUCACUGUCAUAUCACUAUCCACUAUCAUCACAGUCACUGUCACUAUCAUCACUAUCACUGUCACUAUCAUCACUAUCCUUGCUGUCACCAUCACUGUCAUAUCACUAUCCACUAUCAUCACAGUCACUGUCACUAUCAUCACUAUCACUGUCACUAUCAUCACUACCCUUGCUGUCACCAUCACUGUCAUAUCACUAUCCACUAUCAUCACAGUCACUGUCACUAUCAUCACUAUCACUGUCACUAUCAUCACUAUCCUUGCUGUCACCAUCGCUGUCAUAUCACUAUCCACUAUCAUCAUCACAAUCACAGUCACUGUCACUAUCAUCACUAUCACCGUCACUAUCAUCACUGUCACUAUCAUCACUAUCACUAUCAUCACUAUCAUCACGGUCAGCAAAUCCGAACAUUGGUUCUGAUCUGAAGAGAGCUGGGUCAGUGAGGGAGAUGGGAACAGGACGUGGAGGAACAAUGCAGAAUAGCGCUGGCAGCAGCUACCUCGGCCCCCUGCUCACUCAGCACCUGUGUGUGCAUAUAUGUGUAUGUACAUAUAUUCUGCAUGUAUGUGUGUAUACGUGUGAAUAUGUAUGUGUGCACAUAUGUGUGUGUAUGUAUGUGUGCAUUCUGUAUGUGUCUGCAUGUAUUUGUAUGUGUAUGCAUGUGUGUAUAUGUGUAUGUGCAUGUAUGUGUGCAUGUAUAUGUGUAUGCACAUACAUUUGCAUGUAUUGUGUAUGUAUGCAUGUUUGUGUGUGUGCAUGUGUAUGUGUAUCUGUGUGUCUCUGUGUAUAUGUGUAUUUGCAUGUUUUUGUGUGUGCAUGUGUAUAUAUGUGUAUGUGUCUGUAUGUGUGUGUUCAUAUGUGUAUGUUCAUUCAUGUGUGCAUAUGUAUAUAUGUGUGUGUAUGUGUGUACAUGUUUGUUCAUGUGCAUAUGUAUGUAUAUGUGUAUAUGUGCUUGGGUGAUGUGUAUAUUUGUGUAUGUGCAUGUGUGUAUGUGUAUGUGUGUAUGCAUGUGUAUGUGCAUGUGUGUAUGUAUGUGUGCAUAUGUGUAUGUGUAUAUUGUGUACAUGUGUAUGUGUGUAUGCAUGUGUGUGCUGUAUAUGUAUGUGCAUGUGUAUGUAUGUGUAUAUUUGUGUGUAUGCACACGUGUAAUGUGUGUAUGCAUGUGUGUGCAUGUGUAUACAUGUGUUUAUCUGUGUAUAUUUGUAUGUGUGCAUGCAUGUAUAUGUGUAUGCAUGUGUGUGCAUCUCUAUAUGCAUGUAUGUGUGUCCAUGCAUAUGUGUGUAUGCAUGUGUAUAUGUGUGCAUGUAUGUGUAUGCAUGUGUGUAUGCAUGUGUGUGCAUGUGUGCAUGUGUGUAUACAUAUGCAUGAAUGUGUGUGCCUAUGUGUGUACUGUGUGCAUGUGUGUGCAUGUAUGUGUGUACAUAUGCAUGUAUGUAUGUGUGUGUGCCUAUGUGUGUGUGCAUUUGUGUGCAUGUGUACAUGUGUGUGCAUGUACCUGUAUGUGUAUGCAUGUGUGUGCAUGUGUGUGUGUGUUGGAGCAGCGCCCUCAAUGUCAGGCGCCAGCUGCCUUCCCACAAGGAUCUUUGUUCUGUCAGGGGCCACACUGUUUCUUUAGCAGGCCAAGAGUGCAGGACCUGGCAGGGGCUGUGGGAGCCCCCAUUUGGCCUACUUGGCAGGAGUCCCCACACCCUCCCUAGCCCCAGGCCCCAGGACCCAGCAGCUGGACAGGUGGGGCAGGUGACCAGCAGGACCAACCAGGGCCCUCCCUGGAUCACAGACAGAUGCAGGGAGAAGGAAGUGCCCCCUCUGCUCUCAGGCUGCUGCCCAUGGGGCUGGGGCUGGGGGUGCAUGGAGGCCUCUGGCCCCUUGUAGAGAGGGUCUGGUGGCAGAAGCCCUGUGGCAAGAGGAGAGCCAAGGAGAGCCCAGCAGAGCCAGGGCCACAGCACAGCUCCCAGGCCCCGCCAAGUCCUGGACCUGAUCUUCCUUCCUGGGGACGCCGGUGCCUCCCCCAGGGCCCCAGUAGGCAGUGGUAUUUACACAGUGCACACUGCUUUCUAACUGGGGUAACUGGGGGCCUGGUGGUCCACCAAGGUUAGAGAGCAGAGGUAAGUCUAAGCCAGGACCACUGCCCCGUGGGCUGACCCCACCCCCUCACCACUGCCCUGAGGGUUCCAAGGACCUAGUUCCCAUUCACCGGCUGCCAGCAGGUGCAGGCACCGUGGGGGCACAGUGGAGACCCCACACAGUAAGGGAUUCGCCCCACCUGGGGGGCAGCUUGGCCUCGCCCAGCUCCAGGGAGAUAGCCUCUGAGCCCUUGGAAUGUCCGCCUGAUGAGGGUGUCUUUGUUCCUGGGGCCUGGGCCAUGCCAGGUGGUCCCACAGUGUGAUUUGGGGUGGGGCCCCGGGCAGUUUUCAGUUUGACCUUUGGAGGGCUGGAGACUGAGGUCAACCAUGUGGUGUCAGCCUCGCCUCUGUGACUGACCUCCAGUAGACACCAAGGCCCGCGAGCCUCUCUGGGGACGUGCCUCCAUGCAUGAGGCCACACAUCAUCACCGGGAGGAUGGAGUGCCACCCACACCUCCACAGGGAGGGACUGGCCGGAUGCCCUGGGCUCAGAGCUGUCCUGGAUGCAGCUGCGUCCCUCCCCCUGGCUGGUUUAGUCUGUAGACUGUUGCUUAAUAAACCAUAAGUGAGCAUUGCCACUCCCCAGCGUCUGUGGGUCCUUCUGGCUCGUUAUUGAACGUGAGAGGGGUCUUAGGGACCCCACACCUUGCACUGCUCUUCCUGGGGGAAGGGACAUACUCAUAGUCCACAAGGUCAGGGCAUCCACCUUGAGCUGAUCAGCCGGUCUCCAGGAGGGAAGGAUGCCUGGGCCGAGGGAAAGCAGGGAAGCAGGCGCAGGGGGCAUGAGGAGGGAGGGGCUUGGAGGGCAGCGCCCCAGCCACCCAUUUUGGGGAGGAAACACCGGCUCUGCUCAGCUUGCAGGGAGCUGGGCAGGCUAGAUGGGGUGGGCUCUAAGCCAUGGGUCCCCUAUGAGAAUGCAGCCAAGUGGGUGGCCCCGGGCUGGGGCGUGGAAAAGCG